GAUGAACGCUGGCGGCGUGCCUAAUACAUGCAAGUCGAGCGAACAGACGAGGAGCUUGCUCCUCUGACGUUAGCGGCGGACGGGUGAGUAACACGUGGAGAACCUACCUAUAAGACUGGGAUAACUUCGGGAAACCGGAGCUAAUACCGGAUAAUAUAUUGAACCGCAUGGUUCAAUAGUUAAGGACGGUUUUGCUGUCACUUGUAGAUGGAUCCGGGCCGCCUUAGCUAGUUGGUAAGGUAACGGCUUACCAAGGCAACGAUGCGUAGCCGACCUGAGAGGGUGAUCGGCCACACUGGAACAGAGACACGGUCCAGACUCCUACGGGAGGCAGCAGUAGGGAAUCUUCCGCAAUGGGCGAAAGCCUGACGGAGCAACGCCGCGUGAGUGAUGAAGGUCUUCGGAUCGUAAAACUCUGUUAUUAGGGAAGAACAAAUGUUUAAGUAACUAUGCACGUCUUGACGGUACCUAAUCAGAAAGCCACGGCUAACUACGUG
rnacentral:rRNA from 1 species